rnacentral:rRNA from 1 species
GAUGAACGCUGGCUACAGGCUUAACACAUGCAAGUCGAGGGGAAACGGCAUUGAGUGCUUGCACUGAAUGGACGUCGACCGGCGCACGGGUGAGUAACGCGUAUCCAACCUUCCCGUUACUGCGGGAUAACCUGCCGAAAGGCAGACUAAUACCGCAUGUUCUUCGAUGACGGCAUCAGAUUCGAAGCAAAGAUCCGUCGGUAACGGAGGGGGAUGCGUCUGAUUAGCUAGUUGGCGGGGCGACGGCCCACCAAGGCGACGAUCAGUAGGGGUUCUGAGAGGAAGGUCCCCCACAUUGGAACUGAGACACGGUCCAAACUCCUACGGGAGGCAGCAGUGAGGAAUAUUGGUCAAUGGGCGGAAGCCUGAACCAGCCAAGUAGCGUGCAGGAUGACGGCCCUACGGGUUGUAAACUGCUUUUAUGCGGGGACAAAGUGAGGGACGCGUCCCUUUUUGCAGGUACCGCAUGAAUAAGGACCGGCUAAUUCCGUG